rnacentral:lncRNA from 1 species
CCUUCCUAAUUAAGUCCCUCUUGACUUAGUCAAAAUACAAUUAUUCAAAUUACAGACUUGGACAAGCUUAAUUCUUCAAGUUUCUUUCCCCAACAAACUUGUUACAACACAUACAAUAUAAUAAAUGAAAAUUUAAGGCUUAAAAAUAAAAAAACUUUUCAAGCUUAAGGAAGUCGAUGGUGAAUGCUCUUAAAUGCAAUGACUUCCUCC